GAGUCUAUAGCCCAGUGGUUGGGCAUAUGCUUAGCGUGUGUGAGGUCCUGGGUUCAAUUCCCAGUACCCUCA
rnacentral:tRNA from 1 species